UACGAAGGGUGCAAGCGUUAAUCGGCAUUACAGGGCGUAAAGCGUGCGUAGGUGGUUUGUUAAGUCUGAUGUGAAAGCCCUGGGCUCAACCUGGGAAUGGCAUUGGAUACUGGCUUACUAGAGUGCGGUAGAGGGAUGCGGAAUUUCCGGUGUAGCGGUGAAAUGCGUAGAGAUCGGAAGGAACAUCUGUGGCGAAGGCGGCAUCCGGGACCAGCACUGACACUGAGGCACGAAAGCGUGGGGAGCAAACAGG
rnacentral:rRNA from 1 species